UGUCUCUGUCAUUUUCUCUCUAGCCGGCCUUCUUCUCCAGCCGUUUACCCCUCAAAUUCGUUCAUGAAACCAUCAUUUGCUGGUAAUCAACCACCAUCUAAGCCCCCUAUCCUCCCUACCUUUCUAACACCGCUAUUUUCCCUCCUCUGACCAACUCCAGCCUUCAAGAGGUAGCUGCGAACCCUAAUCCUCCCUUCACUUUGCAAGAAAAGGAUGCGGUUUCUCCCAAUUCCACGUCGCCUUCAAUUGUGUGUAACAAAGUGGUGGUUAAUCUCAACCUGAGUGAUUUUGUCCAAGAUGGGAAACUGGAUUCCCCUGCACCUCAGCUGGCGACACAUGAACAUGUGAGCUCAAAAAUUUUUUCCGUCACUAUCUCGUCGUCAGGGACUUAUUUCUCAGAGAAUGAAGCUUAUAUCUACCAAAAUCAACUUCAGUUUCAACGGAUUAUCUCCGGUUUCGUCUCUUGACGGUGUUUCGGUUGAUAUUGCUGCAAUCGCUAGUGGAUGCUGCUGGUACUAGUAGUGGAGAAUCGGCGGUUAUGACGGUGCAGGAGUCCGACGGAUGGUUCUAUUUUAUAUCGGAUGCUGUGGAAGUUGUUUUGAAGUGUUUGGAUAUGUUGCAGUAGUUAGAUGAGAUUAAGUAUUUAGAUUAGAGUAUAUGUUGCAGUAAUCUUAUAUUUUUGUUUUAAUGAAUUAGCUAUUAGUAGAUUAGAACAUAAUACUUUCUGUUGUAAUAAGUAUAGGAGAUAAUGUUUGGUAAUUGUUGUUGUGAUUACAUGAUCAAUUUC
rnacentral:lncRNA from 1 species